AGAGCAGUGAUUGGUCUUGUUGCUACUGGUUUGGUUUCUUCCUCUUUUGUUCAAGCUGUUCUUGCUGAAGCCAUUCCUAUUAAAGUUGGUGGUCCUCCUGCACCUUCUGGUGGCCUUCGUAUGUAUUCUUUCCUAAUUUAUUAACUUCUUUUCAUUCUCUAAUUUUAGUGCAUGUUUGGAUAGUUUUGAGUUUGACAGAAUCAUGAUGAGUCAUUAUAAUUUCGACCUGAACCACAAUACUACUGUGAUUUUGUCAAACUCAAAGCUAUUCAAACAUGAAAUCUGUCUAUACAGUGAUUUUGACAAAAUCACAGUAGUACUGCAGUUCUGUUGAAAUUAUAAUGACUCACUGUGAUUCUGUCAAACUCAAAACUAUCCGAGCAUGAAAUCCGUCUAUAUAGUGAGUUUGACAAAAUUAGUGGUUCAGCCGAAAUUAUAAUGACUCACCGUGAUUUCAACAGAACCACAAUACUACUGUGAUUUUGUCAAACUCACUAUAUAGACAGAUUUCAUGUUUGAAUAGCUUUGAGUUUGAUAGAAUCACAGUAAGUCAUUAUAACUUUGACCGAAGCACAGUACAACUGUGAUUUUGUCAAACUCACCGUAUAGAAGGAUUUCAUGUUUGAAUAGCUUUGAGUUUGACAAUAUCACAACGAGUCAUUAAAAUUUCGAUGGAACAACAGUACUACUGUGAUUUUGUCAAACUCUCUGAUAGACGGAUUUCAUGUUUUUUCGUCAAUUCAAGUAACAAGAUACAUUAUGUGACAUACAUAAUUGAAUAGAAAAUAUGACAUGUCAUGUCACAUACAUUAUGUCUAAUUUUAUAAUGUGUGACAUAGACACAGUUUAACUUUAACACCAAGUGUGUAAGUAUUGGAUGCUUGUACUACCAAAUAAUUUCUAGAAUGUUGCAUCUAAGAUAAUAGAUAAAAUGGAAAAUAAUAUGAUAUAUAACCAUUGGAUGGGUGUAUUAUGGAAUUUGGCAGCUGGAACACUGAACUCUGAUGAAGCAAGAGACCUUAAGCUACCAUUGAAAGAAAGGUUCUUCAUUCAACCAUUGACACCUACCGAGGCUGCUGCAAGAGCUAAGGAAUCAGCAAAGGAAAUUGUUGAUGCUAAGAAGUUCAUUGACCAGAAGGCCUGGCCAUAUCUUCAGAACGAUCUCCGUCUCAGGGCUGGCUAUCUUCGGUAUGACCUUAAAACUAUCAUCGCUUCAAAGCCUAAGGAUCAGAAACAAUCCCUCAAGGACCUCACCGGAAAGCUCUUCGAGGAUCUCGACAAUGUAAGUUUACAAUAUUACAUUUUCAAGGAUUAAAAUUGAAGUUGUGGCAAUGGUUGCAUCACAAUUCUUGAUACUGCAGAGAAUCACGUAAUUGGAUUGUCUGUAGUCAAUAACCACGUAUUCAUGCAGUCAACACAUAUGUGGAUAAUGAAUCGAGAUUGGGCAAUCUAGAUUUCAAGCUCGAUAUUUUAGAUUUUAAAAGAAAUCAACAUCUAAUUUGAAAUCUAAAUGGUCCAAUCUCGAUCCAACUAUACCACCAAUUUGCUGACUUCAGGCAAUCCAAAUUUGAGAAUCACGGUCAAUGACAGCUAAUAUUGUCUCAAUUGCGGUCACACUAUGGUUAACAACAUAAAAAACCAUGACGUUGUCUUAGAUUGCAGCCGCAAACAUUUUUUGAAAACCUAAUCCUAUAGCUCUUCAUCAAUUUAGAAUUGUAGAAAGAUUGGACUAAUUGAAAGUUUUCUUUUAUGUUCGCAGCUU
rnacentral:lncRNA from 1 species